rnacentral:rRNA from 1 species
CUGUUUAUCAAAAACAUGGCCUAUUGUUUAUAAUAAUAGGUCUGACCUGCCCACUGAAUUUUUAAAGGGCCGCGGUAUUUUGACCGUGCUAAGGUAGCAUAAUCAUUAGUUUUUUAAUUGAAAGCUGGAAUGAAUGGUUGGAUGAAAAAAUAACUGUCUCUAUUUAAAAAAGGUUGAAUUUUAUCUUUAAGUAAGAAAGCUUAAAUAAAUUUAAAAGACGAGAAGACCCUAUAGAGUUUUAUAAAAUUUUAUAUUUGAAUUUUUAGGAUUAUAAUUUUAUUUAUAAAAUUUUAUUUGAUUGGGGCGAUUGAAAAAUUAAAUGAACUUUUUUUUUAUUGAAACAUUUAUUAAAUGAAAAUUUGAUCCAUUAAUAAUGAUUAUAAGAUUAAAUUACCUUAGGGAUAACAGCGUAAUUUUUUUUGAGAGUUCAAAUCGAAAAAAAAGUUUGCGACCUCGAUGUUGGAUUAAAAUUAAUUUUUGGUGUAGAAGCUAAUAAAUUAGGUCUGUUCGACCU